CUUGACGCAGGCUAAAUCGAUAGUCAUCAGUCUCUAUAAAAAGGACAAUUUCCAGACCGUCGUCAUUAGCCCUGUAGUAGCAGUGCAGUAGGACGUCUUCUAUUUGUGGAAAACCUCUUUUGACCUUUACAGACAUAAAGAUGUCAAUCGAACAGCUGACUACAAGUCCUCCAAUCCAGAUAACCGAAACCACCUUUAUACCCACAACUACACCCAGGGAACCCAGUUCCAGUGGUCCUGAUUAUGGAAUAACAGAUGAUUGUCGGAAGAAAUCGGAGACAUGGCUAGAGAAAAAGAUUGAGGAGAAAGAGAAGUGGAAUGCAGGGCGUCGGGGGCGUCAGGGGCGUCUGCGGUGUAACAUUCAGUAGCGGAUCUAGAAGCUGAGAAUAGGAGGGGGGGGGCGGUUCCAAAUCUAGGGCGCCAUCCGCAAUCGCACCCCACAAUGAAUGUAAACAAAAUAGUUGAUAUAACACUGAGCGUCCCGGUAGAACAUAGAUCGUUAUCUCGCCGGAAACCAGUUUUAUUUAAGUUGACAUAAAGUUCAUGUUAUAUUA